rnacentral:rRNA from 1 species
CCUGCCGGCGACCGGCGCACGGGUGAGUAACACGUAUGCAACCUGCCCUCCGCAGGGGGAUAACCCGGAGAAAUCCGGACUAAUACCGCGUGGUACAUCUGUGGGGCAUCCCACGGGUGUUAAAAGGAAGCGAUUCCGGCGGAGGAUGGGCAUGCGGCGCAUUAGCUAGUUGGCGGGGUAACGGCCCACCAAGGCGACGAUGCGUAGGGGUUCUGAGAGGAAGGUCCCCCACACUGGUACUGAGACACGGACCAGACUCCUACGGGAGGCAGCAG